CUCCGCUUGGUGUAGUUGGUUGUACGUUCUCCCCACGAAUUCAAAACAGUCGUGCAAGGCACUAACUUGCGCAGUAUCACGUUCGACUGUAAUAUAAAUUUGUAAUCGAAAGGUCCCUAGUUCGAUUCUGGGAGCGGAGA